CCCUUAGAUGUUCUGGGCCGCACACGCGCUACACUGAAGGAGGCAGCGUGUACUCCUGGAUCGAAAGAUUUGGGUAACCCGCGAAUCUCCUUCGUGCUAGGGAUUGAGGUUUGCAAUUAUCCUUCAUGAACGAGGAAUUCCCAGUAAGUGCAAGUCAUAAGCUUGCGCUGACUACGUCCCUGCCCUUUGUACACACCGCCCGUCGCUACUACCGAUUGAGUGAUCCGGUGAAUAAUUCGGACUGCAGCAGUGUUCAGUUCCUGAACGUUGCAGUGGAAAGUUUAGUGAACCUUAUCACUUAGAGGAAGGAGAAGUCGUAACA
rnacentral:rRNA from 1 species